AUUGAACGCUGGCGGCAUGCCUUACACAUGCAAGUCGAACGGCAGCACGGGGGCAACCCUGGUGGCGAGUGGCGAACGGGUGAGUAACAUAUCGGAACAUACCCUAGAGUGGGGGAUAACGUAGCGAAAGUUACGCUAAUACCGCAUACGAUCUAAGGAUGAAAGUGGGGGAUCUUCGGACCUCAUGCUCAUGGAGUGGCCGAUAUCUGAUUAGCUAGUUGGUGAGGUAAAGGCUCACCAAGGCGACGAUCAGUAGCUGGUUUGAGAGAACGACCAGCCACACUGGAACUGAGACACGGUCCAGACUCCUACGGAGGCAGCAGUGGGAAUUUGGACAAUAGGGGCAACCCUGAUCCAGCAAUGCCGCGUGAGUGAAGAAGGCCUUCGGGUU
rnacentral:rRNA from 1 species